AGAACAAAUUAAACCCAAAGGACGAAGAAAAAUAUCAGUGUGGAAAUUAAUGAAAUGAAAAACAGAAAAACCAUACCGACGAUCAAUGAAACCAAACCUGAUUCUUUGAGAAGACCAGUGAAAGUAAUAACUCUGUGGUCAGACCGAUCCAGAAGAAAACGAGAAAAGACACAAAUUACCAAUACCAGGAAUGAGAACAGUGACACUGCUACAGAUUCUGCAGCAGGCUAAAGGAGACAUCAUAUGAUUCAUUAUAUCUAUGACAGAGGAAAAUUUAAUGCCCAUGCAUGAUUAAGAAAACUCUCAGGAAAAAAAAUUGGAAUAAAGGGGAACUUCCUCAACUUUAUAAAGGACAUCUACAAAAAACCUACUGAUAGCAUCAUUAGUAUAUUAAAGAUGACAGACUGAACACUUUCUCCCAAAGACUGGGAACAAGGCAAGAAUGUCUCUCCCUACUGUGAUUCAACAUAUCAUUGGAACUUCUAGACAGAGCGGUAAGUCAAGAAAGGCAACAAAAGUCAUACAGAUUGGAAAGGAAGAAAUAAAACUGUCCCUAUUUUCAAUAACACAAUUAUCUACAAUGAAAAUCCCAAGGAAUCUAUAAAUAAUGAUUACC
rnacentral:lncRNA from 1 species